rnacentral:rRNA from 1 species
UACGUAGGGUGCGAGCGUUGUCCGGAAUUACUGGGCGUAAAGAGCUCGUAGGUGGUUUGUCGCGUUGUUCGUGAAAUCUCACGGCUUAACUGUGAGCGUGCGGGCGAUACGGGCAGACUAGAGUACUGCAGGGGAGACUGGAAUUCCUGGUGUAGCGGUGGAAUGCGCAGAUAUCAGGAGGAACACCGGUGGCGAAGGCGGGUCUCUGGACAGUAACUGACGCUGAGGAGCGAAAGCGUGGGGAGCGAACAGG